UACGUAGGUGGCAAGCGUUAUCCGGAUUUACUGGGUUUAAAGGGUGCGUAGGUGGAUAAUUAAGUCAGUGGUGAAAUCUUCAGGCUUAACCUGGAAACUGCCAUUGAUACUAUUUGUCUUGAAUACUUUGGAGGUAAGCGGAAUAUGUCAUGUAGCGGUGAAAUGCUUAGAUAUGACAUAGAACACCAAUUGCGAAGGCAGCUUACUACACAGUAAUUGACACUGAGGCACGAAAGCGUGGGGAUCAAACAGG
rnacentral:rRNA from 1 species